rnacentral:rRNA from 1 species
AUGAAAUCAACAGCCAUGAUCCCUUUGGCUCGCAAGAGGAAAAACACGCGCAAUACAGACCAUUGCAAAACGCGUAAAACUCGCAGGAAUAGUUGUUCGACAGAACAGGGCACUAGAAAAGUGCAUCUGUCAUAUGUGAAUGAGUGUAAAAAAAAAGAAAUUGCCAGAGAUAUUAGAAUUUCUAGGCAAUUAGGUCAUAGGAAAUCAACCAAAAGAACUACAAUGGUCUGUUAUCCUUGUAUGAAAUGGCAGAGCUCCUGCCCUUGCCCUCGGCAAGUUGCUCGGACAAAGCAUUUGUGGGGCAAAUCCGUAAUACUGAGAUCUUCCAAAAUCCUAUGA